AACGCACCUUGCGCUCCUUGGUAUUCCUUGGAGCAUGCCUGUUUGAGUAUCAUGAAAUCUUCAAAAUGAAUCUUUUUGUUAACUCAAUUAGUUUGAUUUUGGUAUUGGAGGUCUUUUGCAGCUUCACACCUGCUCCUCUUUGUGUAUUAGCUGGAUCUCAGUGUUAUGCUUGGUUCCACUCAGCGUGAUAAAUUAUCUAUCGCUGAGGACACUGUAAAAAGUGGCCAAGGUAAAUGCAGAUGAACCGCUUCUAAUAGUCCAUUGACUUGGACACUAUUAUUAUGAUCUGAUCUCAAAUCAGGUAGGACUACCCGCUGAACUUAA
rnacentral:misc_RNA from 1 species